ACACGCAGCCACACCACUCUGGGAACGCCCGUUAUCUGCUCUGGGAAGCUAAGCAGGGUCGGCCCCGGUCAGCACUUGGAUGGGAGACCAGCUGGGAACAGUGGAUGCUGUGGGCU
rnacentral:rRNA from 1 species